AGGUUGUGAUUUUACCCAUGUUGGUUUGCUGGUUGGUUUGUCUGCAGGAUGACACAAAAACUACUAAACAGGUUUCCAUGAAACUUGCAUGGAGGAUGGGUCUCGGCCCUGAAUAGACCCCAUUAACUGUUGGGGCAGAUGCGGAGAAAGGGACAGAUCAAGGAAUAUUUCCUCUCUUACUUUAACGUUGCCAGAUAGGGCAUUAUUACACCCUUUUGUCAAAUUCUGAGGGAAUAAUGCAUGAAUCUGAAGAAAGCAAUCAGGCUUCAGUGGACUGUUAAAGUAACCAGUAACUAAAACAGUGAACAUAAGUGAUAGGAAUACUCUAAAGUACAAUUACAUCAAAUUUGUUCCAGUGUACUCUCAAUGUACUUUGUUGCAUUCAACCAUUCUGAAAACAGUGGGCCAUAAACUAAAACCUUACUUAAGCUCCUGCAAAUAGCACCACACUCCCUGUAUUGCAGUUGCGUAACAUCGCUAGUGUUUUGCCAGGAUGACCAUUUCUUGCCAUUAGUCCUCUCACCCAGUCGGCUCAACACACACUUGUGGUUUCGCCAUCAUUUGCAUAAGAACACACACUUGAGCGUCAUAUGAGUGUGUUCUUGGAACAGGAAAUUCAUGGAGACAUUGCACUUACCACACCUUUGUGUUUGCUAAGCUCCCAUAUCAACAAGGGCCAGAGCAGUCACACAGAGACAACAGUGAUAAGGAGUUAUGAAACUGCUGAAGAACAUUUUUGUUUACAACACUGAUCAUUACACAGAUCACAUCAAAACAAACUGUACAUUUCCUUCUAUAACAAGAACAUCAGUGUUUCUGCUGCAUUUUGGGGUUGGUUAGCCAGUCAACAGCAAUUAUAUGGACUGCCUUAACAUUUUCGGACAGACAUUGAUGUACCACUUUUCUUCUGUUACCAGCCGUCUGUCUCAGUUGUUCUUUGUGGCUAGUAAGCAGAAGUCGUCAUGCUAUCACACAGCUGUUGGUAAACAUUAUACCUGAUGAACAUCAAAUUUUGUGCUUUCACUUACUAUCCUGAAGUGAAUACUGAUCCAGAAUAAUGGCUGAAAAAUAACAUCACCUGCAUGUAGAACGGUUGCCUAUAAGCCGUGCUUCCAUAAUGUAGUGGGGUUGGAUUAAUUAGGGCACAAAGUAAACUGCCAUUGCAUGACCAAGAGGCAUUGAUUUCUUUGGUCACUAUCCACUGGUAACUGUGGGAUGACUGGAAUGACUAUGGAUUCUCUGCAUUGCAAAAGAAUAAAAACCCUGCUGAUGGAGGAGACAAAAAAAGGCAACUAGGGAGGUUGAACAAGAGAGAAUGGACGGACAUUGACUCAAUGGAGAGCGCAGGUGUCGUGUCACAAUCUGUUCCCCCGCUGCAAUGUGUUUCCUCAUACCAAAAGGACAGAUUGAUAGAUUGUGAUUUCUAGGUCAAAUUGAGAUUCUUGUUUUUCAACUGUGGACAGUAGACAGACUUCUAGCGGUAGCCAUGUUGCUAACGCUUUCUUCGUGACACAGCGUCAAUAGUAUUGCUUAAACAGGGAGACGUGAGAGCAAUAAUUCAUUCAUUAAUAUUAAUAUUAUUACAGCAGUUACUAUAGAAGGAGUGAGGAAUCAAUCAGAAACUACUUGAUAGUUAAUGAUUAAUUCCUGAAUAACUGUAAAUAAAGGACUAAUGAGCAGAUGAUGAUGACUUCCUAGAUAGCAUACUGGGAGAUACCACAUUCAUGACUCAUUAAGUAAUGACUUAUCAAUAAAUAUCUGUAAAUCAGUAUAAUGACCAGUUUCUUACUGAGUUAAUCCUGAUUAACUAUGAAUCAGAUGCUGAGUAAGCGGCACGAACUAGUGACAAUUCAUUAUUAAUUACUUCAUCCUGACCUUCAAGUGAAGUGAAACAUGAUACUGAGUAGUUAACAAGUAGACUCAAUGACAAAGAGCUGCUUUAUCAUUAGUCACCAUUUUCUGUAUCAUAUCAUAAUCAUGAAGUAAUGAGGGGCUACUUAGUACCUACUCAGUAUUAUGAUUUUCUUUACUGGAAGGUGCACAAAAAACAGUAGCUAAUGAUUAAUUAGAAAUUAAUGAGUCUGUACUAGAAAGAAAUUGGUCAGUGUGUCAAUUUAAAGAUAUUUAUGAACUAAUAAUGACUUAAAUAUUCAUUCAUAUAGCAUCUGUGCUCUUAUAUCUCACUGUUAUCUCUAUAUGGUCCUUGAAUGACUGUUAAACAGGGAUUUCUCAUUUUUUAUUCUCGUGUUAUUAAUCAAGUAAUCCCUGAUUUAUUCAUACUGUGAAGUGUUCCUGUUAAAAGAAAAUUACAAAUAUAUCUCCCACAUUUGUCACGGCCCAAGAGCCAGUCGGUUAAAACAUAAACAGCUAAUGAUUUGGUUGAUUUAACAGCCAUCAGUGGAGGUUAUGCUUUGCUAAUUUCGCCCGAGAAAGACAAAUAGACUUGGAGUUAAAAACUGCAGGGGGUCUUGGGCUACUUGUGCAUUGACACAUUUGAUAAAAGGGAAGAAUAUCUGUUCUGCGAGACGGGGGAGUGUUGGACAAAAACGUCUCUAAAAAUGCUUUGUAUGUGGACUCUGGCCUUUAAUGUUCUUCCAUCAUGGCAGUAUUUGCCAAUAAAUAUCACGUAACCUGCCAAGCGCACAGAAAGCAACGUUCCUUUUUUAAGUUAUCCAAACUCUUCCUUUUGUGGUGUUUUUUGCACCGAGCUGAUCCCACCGCGGGCCAGUUAUGUGAGCAGAUAAAACCCCCGAAGGCUCAUUUGUAAAUAACCCGGGUCUACACUAGAUUAUUUAUUCACAUCUAAAUAGGGUGACAUUUAAUUUCCCCCCCAAAACCUCUCCUGAAGUGUGUGUGUGCCCGUCAGAUUAUUCCCCAGAGAGCUGUGUGAGCAUUGUUACUGUUUGACACAUAUUAACCUGAAAUGUGUGGGAUGGAGUUAUGUACAUUAGGGGGAGGGGGGACGGUUCUUGGCACACGCUCAGAUCAGGAUGUGUUAAUAUCUUAAUAUGUAACCUAUCACACCAUCUGUUGUCUCUCAUCUUGCUGCUGUUCCCUCCAUCCACACGCAUUUCUUCCAUGUGGCGGUAUUUACUGCAUCGCUUCUCCUCUGGUCUCGCUUUCUGUUUGGCUUUUCAGGGUUAUCCUCCAUGCGUCCCCUCCCUCUGUAUCUGUCUAUUAUUUUGAAUCACAGCAUGUCGCCAACAUCAAAAGCGUCAGGCACAAUGGAGAAGGACAUUCCAAGAUCAUCGACUCACACAUUGAAGAAGGACGUCGAAACCCAGCAAGAGGCAACUCCCCUCGGGCCAUAGUGGUGUCUAACUGCCACCUCACUCUCUGACAGGUUUUCCACCCAUCUCAUCGACAGCUCGCGGCUCCAGCUCAGAGAUGAGUGACUCACACACACGUGCACACAGAAAGAGAGAGACACACACACACACGCAUCACAGUGUGAGAGGUAUCAGCGGGGAAGAAAUCAAUGGCUCUCUCUGACAGAAAAGAGCACUGCGCUGAAUCUCUGCUGAAGCCAUCCAGUAAUGGCUUUUCAGCUGUCCCACAUUCAGUUGAAUGAAUCAGCCAGAAUGACUGUAUCUAUGAUCCCCCCCCCCCUCCCCUUAAUCAAAGCAGCAAUUAAUUACCCCCUAAUUAAAUCUAGCACAAUCUGUGUUUAAUGUGAUAUCUGAUCUGAAAUAAUUAUGGUCCACGUUUCCCUCCACAGCUCAGAUGAAAUAGAAUAUCUCAACGUAAUGCCCCCUGGUGCUCAGGCUGCUGCUCACACAAUGCACGUCCACGAAGAAUGUGGUGACAGCGCCAGGGACUUUGCGGGAAAGCGGGCCAUGAAUCAACAGGACGGUGGUACACACAGGAAGGACUGCCAUUACAGUCAUUGGAUUAACCUCCCUGAAUUAGCAGCACAACCUGUGACUCAUCCGUCAGACCGUCUGGAUUCCGCUGCUCUAUUCAGGAUCGGAUAAGAAAAAAACGAUCUCCCACAAACUCUGAAAACCUUCAGAUCCUCUUUAAUAAAGUCAACGAUGAACCUGCACAGGUGUGAGGAAAAAGCAGUACAGUUCAUUUGUGGAGCUGCCCUUUUCCUGAGUGAUCUCUGAACAAAGCAGUGGGUUAAAGAAGCAAAGGUUCUCGGGCCGCACUCAUAUCUGAACUCGCACUUGAAAUAGACAAGAAGAGACAUUUUUUCAGAUUUGAAUUCUGAUUAAAUGACCUUCUGUGCUGUGCUGACACAGGGACUCAUAAUAUGACUCACAGGCUGUUCUGUGCUCUAUCAGUUUGUUCUGCGUUAUAGAGCGGUAAGUGGACAGUGCAGGCGUAGUCCGUGUCUCGGCAAUCAGAAAUGUAUUGUACACUGACGGAAAAGAAUCCCGCGACGGCAUUUACGAUCUUGGGUGGAGACAUUUAUUCUCUUAUGAAACCGUCUCGCUGCUGACUUCUUUCAAAAGAAAGAUUAUUCCAUUGCAGCACUGACACUUGCAGAAAUUUUUCAUGAAAUUAAUCCGGACACUGGUGCCGCGCCCUAUUAAGUAAACUGGUUCCAGUUUUACAAAAUCCAGCUGUGACACAGUCAUCAUAUUCAGGGUGCAUGACAAGACAGGAAGAGAUGUGUUUUUUUUUUAGUAAAGCCAAUAUGGUCCAACCCUGAGCAGUCGUUGUGAAAUAUGGCCAUGCUGUAUGUAUGCAGAAGAACUGACGCGUCCAUCAGCUUUGUCUGUGACUCAUCCUGUCAUAAAAAAACACAUCUGCUCUCUUUGAAAUGAUCUGCCUAACCCCCACGCCUAUGUCUGUGCUCCCUCAGCGCCAGCUCAGUGAUCUUCCCCUUCUGCAAAUUUCAUCCAUUUACCAUCUUUAGAUGAGGACGGCCGUGCCCUUUUGUGAUUUAAUAUCUAAAUGUACAACUGCCUAAAAUGGACAUGGCAAGACACCUUAACUUAACACUUUUGCAGUAGAUUCAAACUUUCCUGGACUUUUGUGACCCCUUAAAAUGAUCAGCUACUUGUGAGCUCUAACCAUAGUUUAUGUCCUAACAGUGGAGCCUGCAGAGGUAGAAGAAAAAUCCAGUAUUUUACAAGAAAAAAAAUGUAGAAUUAGAGCAUAAAACAAGGGGGGAAAAAAUGAGAUAAUUUGGUUUAACUUGUAUUUUUACUUGUAUUUGCACUACCACUUGAUGGAUUUACCAGGCCAUAUGAUUGCCACUGCCCUGGUUUCAAUGUUUGUUGCAACAUGCAGCUGAUGUUUGCAGUCUAGAAUGACGCCUGACUACCCUGCUCUUUACUUCAGCCCAGUUUCACACUGGCACCUUUUAGCCCCGUGUAUAGAAGAUUUUCAACCCCACGAUCUCAGGGAUAACCCUGCUCCGAAGCUUAAGUCUGAGUUUGUUUCCACUUUGGAGUGUGCCAGGAUUGUGCUAGUGUGAAAGCUGUCUAAGCCCGAGGCUCGGGAGUGUCUGAGAACGCUUCUAGCCCUGGGCUAAGUUGCCACUGUGACAUCCAAUGAAAUGUCAACAUCUCGACAUCUAGAUUGGCACAAAAUCUUGUACUGGCAAUAGACUUUUCUUGACUGAUCCUUGGAAUUCAAAGCAUCUCAUCUACAACACGAUUGUUCCAGAUGGCACUAGGAAAUUACCGACAUUCUAAAGGACAAGUCCACAAAGAGAGCCUAAAAACCUCUGCAUGAGGUUUGAAAAUGCAACAUGAUACUGCAGACUUCUUCUUGGAGUCGUAACUGAAAUCUUGACACACAGACAUAAAAUGUCUUGACAUAAUUCAGUGUGACUUACACCUUCAGAUGAUAUCAUUAACGCUGAUAUUCAGUGCAAAAUAAAGUCCCUAAAUCUUAAUAGAAUUGAUAAAUAAAGGCACCCGAGCCCUUGAUAAUCAGGUUUUUACAUUCUCUUUGGUGGAGAAGUUAUCCAGUGACUGUCUAUACAGCAAACAGAAAAUACUAUAGUUCAGAAUACCAAAUUGUAAACAACUAUUGACAAAAAAACAGGGCUGUAAAGAAGA